CCUACGGGAGGCAGCAGUGGGGAAUAUUGGACAAUGGGCGAAAGCCUGAUCCAGCAAUACCGCGUGUGUGAAGAAGGCCUGAGGGUUGUAAAGCACUUUCAAUAGGAAGGAAUACCUACCGGUUAAUACCCGGUAGACUGACAUUACCUAUACAAGAAGCACCGGCUAACUCCGUGCCAGCAGCCGCGGUAAUACGGAGGGUGCAAGCGUUAAUCGGAAUUACUGGGCGUAAAGCGUGCGUAGGCGGUUGUUUAAGUCAGAUGUGAAAGCCCUGGGCUUAACCUGGGAACUGCAUUUGAUACUGGACGACUAGAGUUUAGUAGAGGGGAGUGGAAUUUCAGGUGUAGCGGUGAAAUGCGUAGAGAUCUGAAGGAACACCAGUGGCGAAGGCGGCUCCCUGGACUAAAACUGACGCUGAGGUACGAAAGCGUGGGUAGCAAACAGGAUUAGAUACCCUAGUAGUCAGA
rnacentral:rRNA from 1 species